AACGUAGGAGACAAACGUUAUCCGGAGUUACUGGGCGUAAAGGGCGUGUAGGCGGACUGUUAAGUCACACGUGAAAUCCCUCAGCUUAACUGGGGAACUGCGUCUGAGACUGGCGGGCUUGAGUGCAGGAGAGGAACGCGGAAUUCCAGGUGUAGCGGUGAAAUGCGUAGAUAUCUGGAGGAACACCGGUGGCGAAGGCGGCGUUCUGGACUGUUACUGACACUGAGGAACGAAAGCCAGGGGAGCAAACGGG
rnacentral:rRNA from 1 species